rnacentral:rRNA from 1 species
UACAGAGGCCUCGAGCGUUAGGCGGAAUCACUGGGCUUAAAGCGUGUGUAGGCGGACUUCUAAGUGCCUUGUGAAAUCCCACGGCUCACCCGUGGAACUGCUGGGCAUACUGGUUGUCUUGAGCCAGCUAGGGGCGAGCGGAACAGACGGUGGAGCGGUGAAAUGCGUAGAUAUCGUCUGGAACGCCGAAGGUGAAAACAGCUCGCUGGGGCUGCGCUGACGCUGAGACACGAAAGCCAGGGGAGCGAACGGG